AAAUCGGCUCUUUUUAGAGCCAUCAUGCUGUACAAACCCGACUAG
rfam:Habropoda laboriosa contig19400, whole genome shotgun sequence.